rnacentral:misc_RNA from 1 species
GAUGAAGAACGUAGCGAAAUGCGAUAAGUAAUGCGAAUUGCAGAUCUCCGUGAGUCAUUGAAUCUUUGAACGCACAUUGCGCCCUCGGGUAUUCCCGAGGGCAUGCCUGUCCGAGCGUCAUUACAACCCUCAAGCUCAGCUUGGUGUUGGGCCCCGCCGCCCCGGCGGGCCCUAAAGUCAGUGGCGGUGCCGUCCGGCUCCGAGCGUAGUAAUUCUUCUCGCUCUGGAGGUCCGGUCGUGUGCUCGCCAGCAACCCCCAAUUUUUUUCAGGUUGACCUCGGAUCAGGUAGGGAUACCCGCUGAACUUAAGCAUAUCAAUAAGCGGAGGA